GAGACUCGGCGGGACGUGACCUGUCGCGCGGAGCCCUGAGGGCGCGGCCGGCCGUGGGAGCCGGUUCCGCCCUCUUCGUGUGCCGACCCGCGGCGUGCCGCUGUCUCCGGGCCCGUCCUGCUGGCGCCGCCCCGCCCUGCCCGGGGUCUCGCUGCAGCAGCCACUCCGCUCCGCGCGGUGGCGCCGCCGUGAGGGACCCACUCGUUACCGAUCACGUGACGCUCGUUGCUGCGCACGUGACCUUCGGGCGGCGCAUGCGCGGUGCGGCGGGGGCGGUGCAGGCGGGCGGCGCUGAGGGCGGAGGCGGCGGCGGCCGGAGCGGGGCCGGGCCGGCGCGAAAUGGCGGACAGGUUCUCCCGCUUCAACGAGGACAGGGACUUCCAGGGCAAUCACUUUGAUCAGUAUGAAGAGGGGCACCUGGAGAUAGAGCAGGCAUCUCUAGACAAGCCCAUCGAAUCGCCCAGUUUUUAAAGCCAGGUUCGUAUGGAAAUGCUUUCACUCCACUUGCACUGCUUUUGGAAUAGCGUUCUGCUUCAUCUGUCUUUAUUUUAGUGCAUUCAUAACACACACAGUCAGCACAAUGUCUCAUCUCCACUUGGCCAAGACUGCAAAGUACUCCUUGUCCUUUGGAUUUUUUUUCUUUUUGGAAAACGCAGCCAUUUUUGUCAGCACCGGCUUUUAGAUUCAAUGCUCCUUUUGUCAGGGUAGGGCAGUUAGUGCCUUGUCCCAAACCUGUCCCAAGCUGCAGCCCCUCUCUGCCAGGAUGGGGCACUCUGUGCCCAUUGGGAUUGGCCUGCCCAGGUGUGCCUGCAGGUAAGUUUUCCUCUCUUCCCAACAGCCCGCCUUCUCCAUGGUGCUUGUGGUGGGGAUCCAUCCUUGGGUUUUGGGGUUUGUUUUGGAUUUUUUUUUUUUUUUUUUUUUUUUUUUUGCAUUUAACCUUUUAUCCCCAAAAGUUUCCUUAUGUCUCCUGGUUUAAUUUUUUUUUCUAUGUAGCCCUAAUUAUGUCCUGGAGCAGAGCUGGUAGUGUGGGGAAAAUGCACAAUGCACAUUAUUCCUUGGGAAAUACAGAAAUCCAAAAUGUCUGACUUUACUAGGAUAUCAGAAAAAAAUUUCCAAAAUCUGUACAUGAUAACAUCUUUUUGAGGAAAAAUAUAUCCAUGCAGCCAAUAUCUUUGGGAAGGUUGUGCCUUUCAAGCUGAUUCACCAAAGUUGUGCAAACCCUGUGGUCUUUUUCUUCACUGUGGAGUGACAAAAUCUACUCUGGUUUCUGUUGAUGGCUGUUGUUUAAUUAAAGAAACCUGCAGCAUAUAGAUACAAUUAUUUUUUAGGAUUCUGUGUACCACUCAGUGUUCUGGAGUCACAUCCUGUUAUAAUUCAGGAUAUUUCUUUGAUACCUCGAGUUGUGGUUUGCUUGAUGAUAAUUAAUAAUCAACAAGUUCAUAACUGAUUUUGAUUUUUAUAUUUUGUGAUUAGAAGUGAACAUGGUCCCAGCCAAGAGUCCUUCUCUGAGGAGCUGGUCACUGCUUGUAACUGGGUGAACUGGUCACUAAGGGCGAGCUGGCAGAUUGAGAUGGUUCCAGGGGGCUGUGAGUGCUCUGCUCUUUGUCUGGGGGCAGAAACCCUGCAUAAAACACAACAAUUUCCACACUGAGCCCUGCUCAGCCCCAUUGCCAAAAGCUGACACUUAAUUGCUGCGUCAGUACUUUUCCAGUUAUUCCAAAACAGUUUUUUUUUUUUUUUAGGAAGAUGAGACAUUAUGCUUAUUGUUUCCCCUACAUGCACUAAUGGUUCCUUGCUGUUAACUUAUUGCUAGGCCUGUUUCAUUCUAACAUCUUAGUAUUUUUGUUAGUUUACAUGUGAAAUGCAUCACCCAGUCUGUGCUUGAGCUCAUUUUAUUUAAUUGAUUUUUUUUUUUGUUUGUUUUACUAACCUCACUGUUUUUUCAGUUUAAUAUUGGCUGCAUGCUAGUUUAUAUAUAUAUAUACAUAUAUAA